rnacentral:rRNA from 1 species
CGCGUAGGCGGUCCAGUUAGUCGGAUGUGAAAGCCCUGGGCUCAACCCAGGAAGUGCAUCCGAAACUGCUGGACUUGAGUACGGGAGAGGGAAGUGGAAUUCCUGGUGUAGGGGUGAAAUCCGUAGAUAUCAGGAGGAACACCGGUGGCGAAGGCGACUUCCUGGACCGAUACUGACGCUGAGGCGCGAAAGCGUGGGGAGCAAACAGGAUUAGAUACCCUGGUAGUCCACGCCGUAAACGGUGGGCACUAGGUGUAGCGGGUAUUGACCCCCCGCUGUGCCGCAGCUAACGCAUUAAGUGCCCCCGCCUGGGGAUUACGGCCGCAAGGUUGAA